rnacentral:rRNA from 1 species
UACGAAGGGGGCUAGCGUUGUUCGGAAUUACUGGGCGUAAAGCGCACGUAGGCGGGCGAUUAAGUCAGGGGUGAAAUCCCGGAGCUCAACUCCGGAACUGCCUUUGAUACUGGUCGUCUAGAGAUCGGAAGAGGGUCGUGGAAUUCCCAGUGUAGAGGUGAAAUUCGUAGAUAUUGGGAAGAACACCGGUGGCGAAGGCGGCGACCUGGUCCUUGACUGACGCUGAGGCGCGAAAGCGUGGGGAGCAAACAGG